CAGGUAGGGCUUUUACGUGCAUCUUUCUCUCUCAUAACAAAGACAGAAAUGGCGAAAACAAAGAGCGUGGAGAAUGCAGAGAAGUUGGUGGAGAAAAACAUGAAAGGAAACGAUGCCUCUCAUGAUGCAUCGCACGUGUCGAGGGUCAGGGAUCUUGCUCUCUCCCUCGCCCGUGAGGAAGGCUUAUCUUCUAACCCCGAUUCCAUGGAAAUCGUAGAGCUUGCUGCACUUCUUCAUGAUAUAGGUGACUAUAAAUACUUGAGAGAUCAAUCUGAAGAGAGCAAAUUGUUGAGAAAUUUCUGGAGGAAGAGGGUGUGGAUGAAAUAAAGAAGAUGAAGAUCUUAGCAAUCAUCAAGGGGAUGGGUUUUAAAGAGGAACUUGCAGGACAUACGACUGAUGGAUUUUCUCCAGAAUUCGGAGUUGUGCAAGAUGCUGAUCGUCUUGAUGCAAUUGGUGCAGUUGGUAUUGCUCGCUGUUUUACUUUUGGUGGAAGUCGGAAUAGAGUGCUUCAUGAUCCUACCAUUCUCCCUCGUUCAGAUUUGUCCAAGGAACAGUACAUGAAGAAAGAAGAGCAGACCACUGUGAAUCAUUUUCAUGAGAAGCUUCUCAAAUUGAAGGAUUUGAUGAAAACUAAGGCUGGGCAGAAGAGGGCUGAGAGUAGGCACAAGUUCAUGGAGGAAUUUUUGAAAGAGUUCUAUGAUGAAUGGGAUGGACGAGCUUGAGCUAGGUACCUGCUGCUAAGAGCAGAACAUGGAACACAUUACCACAAGUCUCAGGACUAGGGGGGUCAUCCCCGCGCGUCCUAGUUACUUGUCGCAAAUUACCUGGCUAGACUAUUUAUCUUGCCCCAACCAAACUACUAAAUUAAGCGAAAGUUGCUUGCCCAAUCAUUGCUGCUCAAAUACUGCUUAUUCUGUUAUUUAGUACACAUACUAGUAGAUUUUGUCAGGAAGAUUAUCCUGAAUAAAUGAGUACUCAAUUAAGUAAAGACUAGAUGUAUGCCUAUUGUGAUUGAUGAGAUGUUGUAAGUUCAUUAAUUUAGUAGUUUGGUNNNNNNCAUUUUGGAUGUUUUGUUAAUUUUUUUUUUUUUUGUAAAAAGUAUUUUUAUCAACCACAAA
rnacentral:misc_RNA from 1 species